AACGAACGCUGGCGGCAGGCUUAACACAUGCAAGUCGAACGCCCCGCAAGGGAAGUGGCAGACGGGUGAGUAACGCGUGGGAAUCUACCCAGUUCUACGGAACAACUGAGGGAAACUUCAGCUAAUACCGUAUACGCCUACGGGGAAGAUUAUCGGAAUUGGAUGAGCCCGCGUUGGAUUAGCUAGUUGGUGAGGUAACGGCUCACCAAGGCGACGAUCCAUAGCUGGUCUGAGAGGAUGAUCAGCCACACUGGGACUGAGACACGGCCCAGACUCCUACGGGAGGCAGCAGUGGGGAAUCUUGCGCAAUGGGGGCAACCCUGACGCAGCCAUGCCGCGUGAAUGAUGAAGGCCUUAGGGUUGUAAAGUUCUUUUGCCCGUGACGAUGAUGACGGUAACGGGAGAAUAAGCUCCGGCUAACUUCGUG
rnacentral:rRNA from 1 species